AGCCCCGUGGUGUAGCGGCCAAGCAUGGUGGGCCCUGGACCCACUGACCUAGGUUCAAAUCCUGGCGGGGCUACCA
rnacentral:tRNA from 1 species